AAAACGACUCUCGGCAACGGAUAUCUCGGCUCUYGCAUCGAUGAAGAACGYAGCGAAAUGCGAUACUUGGUGUGAAUUGCAGAAUCCCGUGAACCAUCGAGUCUUUGAACGCAAGUUGCGCCCGAAGCCGUCAGGCCGAGGGCACGUCUGCCUGGGCGUCACGC
rnacentral:rRNA from 2 species